GCAGUGGUGGUUCAGCGGUGGAAUCUUGCCUUCUACGCAGGAGACCCAGUUUCGAUUCCUGUCCAAUUCA
rnacentral:tRNA from 1 species